GAUGAAGAACGUAGUGAAAUGCGAUAAGUAAUGUGAAUUGCAGAAUUCAGUGAAUCAUCGAAUCUUUGAACGCACCUUGCGCCUUUUGGUAUUCCGAAAGGCACACCUGUUUGAGCGUCAUGAAUACCUCAAUCUCCAUCUUUUCUUCGGAUUGAUGGGUGACUUGGAUGUUGAGCCCUGCUGGUAUGCUAUAUCAGCUGGCUUUAAACUUAUUAGCCGGCUCUGUACUGGAUCGGUUUGACUCGACGUGAUAAUAUUAUCGUUGAGGAUGCAUGUCUCAUGCAGCCGGAAAGUAUCAAAGCAGCUUCUAGCUUGCCUUUAGUGCACUUUUACAUUUUAGACCUCAGAUCAGGUGGGACUACCCGCUGAACUUCAGCAUCUCAAUAAGCGGAGGA
rnacentral:misc_RNA from 1 species